rnacentral:rRNA from 1 species
AGUGAACGCUGGCGGUAGGCCUAACACAUGCCAGUCGAACGGCAGCACAGUAAGAGCUUGCUCUUACGGGUGGCGAGUGGCGGACGGGUGAGGAAUACAUCGGAAUCUACUUUUUCGUGGGGGAUAACGUAGGGAAACUUACGCUAAUACCGCAUACGACCUACGGGUUAAAUCAGUGGAUCUUCGGACCUUGCGCGAUUCAAUGAGCCGAUGUCGGAUUAGCUAGUUGGCGGGGUAAAGGCCCACCAAGGCGACGAUCCGUAGCUGGUCUGAGAGGAUGAUCAGCCACACUGGAACUGAGACACGGUCCAGACUCCUACGGGAGGCAGCAGUGGGGAAUAUUGGACAAUGGGCGCAAGCCUGAUCCAGCCAUACCGCGUGGGUGAAGAAGGCCUUCGGGUUGUAAAGCCCUUUUGUUGGGAAAGAAAAGCAGCAGGUUAAUACCCCGCUGUUCUGACGGUACCCAAAGAAUAAGCACCGGCUAACUUCGUG